rnacentral:lncRNA from 1 species
AAAUUAAAAUAUUUUAAAUAAAGUAAAAAAAAAAUUGAUACAUAUUUUAAAUUUUUUUAAUAACAAGUAGACUAUAACUUUUUUUUAAUAACAGAUGAGAAAAAAGAAAAAAAAGAAAACAUAAAUUAUAUAACAACACCAAAAGGAAUAUAUAGCACGCAAUAAAUCAAACUAAACGCUGGUCGAAAAAUAGAAUAGAAGAGCAAAAACAACAAGCAACAAGAAAA